UAAACCCGAGCGAGGGCUCUGCCAUU
rnacentral:piRNA from 1 species